AAUCUUUACAGUCAUUGCCAUCUGAAAUUAACAAAAUGUAUUUAAAAAACAAAAGCCAAUCUAACCAAAUACUUAUUAACAAAAAGGAAGAGAAAUUAAAGAAGGAAUAAUACAGCAGGAUUUAUUAAAGCAUUUUGGCAGCGGCAAGGAUGAGUAAAAGUACACAAAAAGAUUUCUUUUAAGGAUCUUAUUGUAUUUUAUACCUUGAAAAAUGGGUCCUUCUUAUAGCUAGAAUAAGAAGGACGAUCCAUGCUAUUUAAAGCAACUCUAAUAUCGGUGUGUAUAUCUUCGAUUAAUUUAUCUAAACCGGCAUAAUUUAGCUCAGGCCUAAUGUAUCCCAAAACAAUAACACGCAUUAUUUCUUCGUAAAAAUCUUCACCUUGUCUUUCUAUGAGAUGCACUUCUGCACUUCGUAGCUUGUUUUUAUAGUACGGAUUCCAUCCAACACUCAUCACCAUGGGGAAUACUCGUUUUUGUACCAUAGCAUAUCCAAAAUAAACACCAGAAUCUCUAUAUCUAAGAAGCUCUUGAAUUGCAUCUUCUGAUAUAUUUGCAGUUGGAAUUCCAAGCUCUUUUGAGCCUCUACCAAAGCCAUGAACAACUUUCCCUUCGAAGCGAAUAGGAUAAGGGCUUUGCACCUUUUCAGGACCAACAAUUUCAGGCCUCUUUUCUUCUAAAUUAACUGUCAUAGAGUAAAUCAAAGGUUGCUAGCGCAAUUGGAAAAAUACUAGUGGAAGUAGGUAGUUAGUAAGCGUAGCUCAGCCUAAUGAAGAGAGUCAUGUUGGACAAAUAUUUCCAUUACGCUUAUUUUAAAUUAGUUUAGUUGAUAUCUAUGAAUAACAAAAAAAUAAUAAAACAAUUGGUUCAUCAACCAUUGACCAUCAAUGGUUAAAUCUCAAGGUUGGUAAUAACCACAAAUGCUCAACGGUUGUUUAACUCUAUUAUGAAUUCGUAAGUUU